GGUGGUUCUUGGGUGAUGCACCCCAAAUUCGGGCUCCCGUCUCUCUAGUUCUAGGUGUGUCACCCAAGAACCGCA
rfam:Myotis davidii contig171026, whole genome shotgun sequence.